AGAGUUUGAUCCAGGCUCAGGACGAACGCUGGCGGCGUGCUUAAUGCAUGCAAGUCGAGGGAAGCACUCUCAGUGGGUAACCGCAGGGAACGACUGACCGGCGAACGGGUGCGUAACACGUGAGCAACCUGCCCCAGAGAUCGGGAUAGCCCGGGGAAACCCGGAUUAAUACCGAAUGCCCUCACCGGACCGCAUGGUCGGGUGAGGAAACGCUCCGGUGCUCUGGGAUGGGCUCGCGGCCUAUCAGCUAGUUGGUGGGGUAAUGGCCUACCAAGGCUAAGACGGCUAGGGGGCGUGAGAGCGCGACCCCCCACAAUGGGACUGAGACACGGCCCAUACUCCUACGGGAGGCAGCAGUGAGGAAUAUUGCACAAUGGGGGCAACCCUGAUGCAGCAACGCCGCGUGGACGAUGAAGGCCUUCGGGUCGUAAAGUCCUUUUCUGUGGGAAGAUAAUGACGGUACCAUAGGAAUAAGUCCCGGCUAACUACGUGCCAGCAGCCGCGGUAAAACGUAGGGGGCGAGCGUUAUCCGGAUUUAUUGGGCGUAAAGCGCGCGUAGGCCGCUUGAUAAGUUGGACGUGAAAGCUCUCGGCUCAACUGAGAGAGGUCGUUCAAAACUGCCAGGCUUGAGGUUAGAAGAGGAGAGUGCAAUUCCCGGUGUAGUGGUGGAAAUGCGUAGAUAUCGGGAGGAACUCCAGUGGCGAAGGCGGCUCUCUGGUCUAUACCUGACGCUGAGGUGCGAAAGCGUGGGGAGCGAACGGGAUUAGAUACCCCGGUAGUCCACGCCGUAAACGAUGGAUACUAGGUGUAGGGGAUGUAUAAAUUUUCUGUGCCGAAGCUAACGCGAUAAGUAUCCCGCCUGGGGAGUACGGCCGCAAGGUUAAAACUCAAAGGAAUUGACGGGGGCCCGCACAAGCAGCGGAGCGUGUGGUUUAAUUCGAUGAUACGCGAAGAACCUUACCUGGGCUUGACAUAUAGGUAGUAGUGAAGUGAAAGCGGAACGACCCUUCGGGGAGCCUAUACAGGUGCUGCAUGGCUGUCGUCAGCUCGUGUCGUGAGAUGUUGGGUUAAGUCCCGCAACGAGCGCAACCCUCGUCGUUAGUUACAAGUGUCUAACGAGACUGCCGGAUUCAAACCGGAGGAAGGUGGGGAUGAUGUCAAGUCAGCAUGGUCUUUAUGUCCAGGGCUACACACACGCUACAAUGGCCAGUACAAUAGGUUGCCACACCGCGAGGUGGAGCUAAUCCUCAAAGCUGGUCUCAGUUCGGAUUGCAGUCUGCAACUCGACUGCAUGAAGGUGGAGUUGCUAGUAACCGCGCGUCAGCAAUAGUGCGGUGAAUGCGUUCCCGGGCCUUGUACGCACCGCCCGUCACAUCAUGGAAGUCGGUAACACCUGAAGUUGGUGACCUAACCGCAAGGGAGGAGCUGCCUAAGGUGGGGCCGGUAACUGGGAUGAAGUCGUAACAAGGUAGCUGUAGCGGAAGCUGCGGCUGGAUCACCUCCU
rnacentral:rRNA from 1 species